rnacentral:rRNA from 1 species
GGUUAAGCGACUAAGCGUACACGGUGGAUGCCCUGGCAGUCAGAGGCGAUGAAGGACGUGCUAAUCUGCGAUAAGCGUCGGUAAGGUGAUAUGAACCGUUAUAACCGGCGAUUUCCGAAUGGGGAAACCCAGUGUGAUUCGUCACACUAUCAUUAACUGAAUCCAUAGGUUAAUGAGGCGAACCGGGGGAACUGAAACAUCUAAGUACCCCGAGGAAAAGAAAUCAACCGAGAUUCCCCCAGUAGCGGCGAGCGAACGGGGAGCAGCCCAGAGCCUGAAUCAGUGUGUGUGUUAGUGGAAGCGUCUGGAAAGGCGCGCGAUACAGGGUGACAGCCCCGUACACAAAAAUGCACAUGCUGUGAGCUCGAUGAGUAGGGCGGGACACGUGGUAUCCUGUCUGAAUAUGGGGGGACCAUCCUCCAAGGCUAAAUACUCCUGACUGACCGAUAGUGAACCAGUACCGUGAGGGAAAGGCGAAAAGAACCCCGGCGAGGGGAGUGAAAAAGAACCUGAAACCGUGUACGUACAAGCAGUGGGAGCACGCUUAGGCGUGUGACUGCGUACCUUUUGUAUAAUGGGUCAGCGACUUAUAUUCUGUAGCAAGGUUAACCGAAUAGGGGAGCCGAAGGGAAACCGAGUCUUAACUGGGCGUUAAGUUGCAGGGUAUAGACCCGAAACCCGGUGAUCUAGCCAUGGGCAGGUUGAAGGUUGGGUAACACUAACUGGAGGACCGAACCGACUAAUGUUGAAAAAUUAGCGGAUGACUUGUGGCUGGGGGUGAAAGGCCAAUCAAACCGGGAGAUAGCUGGUUCUCCCCGAAAGCUAUUUAGGUAGCGCCUCGUGAAUUCAUCUCCGGGGGUAGAGCACUGUUUCGGCAAGGGGGUCAUCCCGACUUACCAACCCGAUGCAAACUGCGAAUACCGGAGAAUGUUAUCACGGGAGACACACGGCGGGUGCUAACGUCCGUCGUGAAGAGGGAAACAACCCAGACCGCCAGCUAAGGUCCCAAAGUCAUGGUUAAGUGGGAAACGAUGUGGGAAGGCCCAGACAGCCAGGAUGUUGGCUUAGAAGCAGCCAUCAUUUAAAGAAAGCGUAAUAGCUCACUGGUCGAGUCGGCCUGCGCGGAAGAUGUAACGGGGCUAAACCAUGCACCGAAGCUGCGGCAGCGACGCUUAUGCGUUGUUGGGUAGGGGAGCGUUCUGUAAGCCUGCGAAGGUGUGCUGUGAGGCAUGCUGGAGGUAUCAGAAGUGCGAAUGCUGACAUAAGUAACGAUAAAGCGGGUGAAAAGCCCGCUCGCCGGAAGACCAAGGGUUCCUGUCCAACGUUAAUCGGGGCAGGGUGAGUCGACCCCUAAGGCGAGGCCGAAAGGCGUAGUCGAUGGGAAACAGGUUAAUAUUCCUGUACUUGGUGUUACUGCGAAGGGGGGACGGAGAAGGCUAUGUUGGCCGGGCGACGGUUGUCCCGGUUUAAGCGUGUAGGCUGGUUUUCCAGGCAAAUCCGGAAAAUCAAGGCUGAGGCGUGAUGACGAGGCACUACGGUGCUGAAGCAACAAAUGCCCUGCUUCCAGGAAAAGCCUCUAAGCAUCAGGUAACAUCAAAUCGUACCCCAAACCGACACAGGUGGUCAGGUAGAGAAUACCAAGGCGCUUGAGAGAACUCGGGUGAAGGAACUAGGCAAAAUGGUGCCGUAACUUCGGGAGAAGGCACGCUGAUAUGUAGGUGAAGUCCCUCGCGGAUGGAGCUGAAAUCAGUCGAAGAUACCAGCUGGCUGCAACUGUUUAUUAAAAACACAGCACUGUGCAAACACGAAAGUGGACGUAUACGGUGUGACGCCUGCCCGGUGCCGGAAGGUUAAUUGAUGGGGUUAGCGCAAGCGAAGCUCUUGAUCGAAGCCCCGGUAAACGGCGGCCGUAACUAUAACGGUCCUAAGGUAGCGAAAUUCCUUGUCGGGUAAGUUCCGACCUGCACGAAUGGCGUAAUGAUGGCCAGGCUGUCUCCACCCGAGACUCAGUGAAAUUGAACUCGCUGUGAAGAUGCAGUGUACCCGCGGCAAGACGGAAAGACCCCGUGAACCUUUACUAUAGCUUGACACUGAACAUUGAGCCUUGAUGUGUAGGAUAGGUGGGAGGCUUUGAAGUGUGGACGCCAGUCUGCAUGGAGCCGACCUUGAAAUACCACCCUUUAAUGUUUGAUGUUCUAACGUUGACCCGUAAUCCGGGUUGCGGACAGUGUCUGGUGGGUAGUUUGACUGGGGCGGUCUCCUCCUAAAGAGUAACGGAGGAGCACGAAGGUUGGCUAAUCCUGGUCGGACAUCAGGAGGUUAGUGCAAUGGCAUAAGCCAGCUUGACUGCGAGCGUGACGGCGCGAGCAGGUGCGAAAGCAGGUCAUAGUGAUCCGGUGGUUCUGAAUGGAAGGGCCAUCGCUCAACGGAUAAAAGGUACUCCGGGGAUAACAGGCUGAUACCGCCCAAGAGUUCAUAUCGACGGCGGUGUUUGGCACCUCGAUGUCGGCUCAUCACAUCCUGGGGCUGAAGUAGGUCCCAAGGGUAUGGCUGUUCGCCAUUUAAAGUGGUACGCGAGCUGGGUUUAGAACGUCGUGAGACAGUUCGGUCCCUAUCUGCCGUGGGCGCUGGAGAACUGAGGGGGGCUGCUCCUAGUACGAGAGGACCGGAGUGGACGCAUCACUGGUGUUCGGGUUGUCAUGCCAAUGGCACUGCCCGGUAGCUAAAUGCGGAAGAGAUAAGUGCUGAAAGCAUCUAAGCACGAAACUUGCCCCGAGAUGAGUUCUCCCUGACUCCUUGAGAGUCCUGAAGGAACGUUGAAGACGACGACGUUGAUAGGCCGGAUGUGUAAGCGCAGCGAUGCGUUGAGCUAACCGGUACUAAUGAACCGUGAGGCUUAACCUU